AGUUAAAAAGCUGAGAAUAAGCCCAAUGUCUUGAAAACAUUGUGAAAGAAGUUCAAAUCUUCUAUUAACUU
rnacentral:tRNA from 1 species